CAUUCCUCUCCAGCUCGCCAAGGUGGGCGGAAGCAAAAUCUCGAUUUUCUUCUAAAUUUCGCAUGGAAUUACAGAUAUUCUGCUUUGGCCACAUAACUUUCCUUGAUCUAUGAUAUGAGAUGACGGUCGAGGUGUCCAUGGUGGUAAGAGAUGACAGCCCGUGGUCCAUGAUGCUAUAGGAGGUGAAAGGUUCUGUCCAGAAAUCCCUCGGUGAUCUCAAUCCUAGCUAGGUGAUGGACCAUAAUCAGCAGUCAGAUCAACAAUGUUCAAUACAAGGCCAUCGAGUCCCAGUCCUAGUCUUUCAUGGUGAUCGGUUCGGCAAAGAAGGAUAACGCGGACACAGUACCAUACGAGGUGGGAUGUCAUACACACGAAGCGGCUGAACUCCACAGGGAAUCAGAUGAUACAGCAGAUACAAUACUACCCACGGUGGAAUGGCGUCAAUGGCGUAACCGAGUCACGUGAUCUAUAUACGAGGGCGACAUCGAAGGCAUGGCAUAUUAGCCCCUUCUUUUUUGAGAAAUCACAGGAGCAUGCACGUGCGUCACAGACGUUUUGAAUACUUAAACGUAGGGAAAAACGUAAGAUUGCGAAACCUCUCUUUUUUUGCUCUGUUGCCCAAUGCAUGAACCUGACAUGGUACCUGAACAAGGGAAAACUCGUUUGAGUGAAUCGAAAAACCAGAAAUUAGAAUGAACUUUGUCAGUAGCAAUGUAAUGAUCUUUGAGUCUUUGCUUUUAUUACCAGAAUACUCGAUGUAUCAGGUGGAAAUUGUAAGAAAUUGAUAAGAGUUGCAUUGGUUAUUUAUGGGGGCAAUCUUUCAAGCUACAUGUGAUCAGGUUCAUGCACAGGGCCACAGUGUUGGCCAUUGGUGAAACAAUUGUUCCAUCUCAGGUGUAUCUUCAUCAAGGUGAAAGUACAUUUAGUCACUUGGGGAAUUAGUCCUAUCCUAUUGUCCAAUGAGUGUUCAGCGAUUUACAGUUAGAGAUGCCAUGCCUUCAUAAUACGAUUGUAAAAACAACGCAGACUAUUUGAAAAAUCAAGUUAAAAAACCCUGUCCAUUCCUGUAAACUUUCUUGGCUCAAGUAGGCCACUUUUAUAUAUCAUUUCACGAAAGUCUCCUGUUUAAAACGGGCAAAAAAUACUUAAGCGAAAGAAAAGUAAAAAAAAGUUCAGUCGGGAUUCAUCAUCGAUAUCUUGCACUAGAAUCCGAUGCUCUUACCACUACUCCAUAAAACCACCCACUGCAGGGGCCGGCAAUGUGAGAGUCAGUGAAAACAUGUGCUCAGACCUUCAUCAUUGAGUUAUGUCACGAUCAUUCAAUUGUGUAUACAAGUUCCAGGGCUCUUUGUCCAAAUUGUGUGGAUUUCACGUCACUGCCACAGACCCUUUGAUAGGGCCAUUGUGGUCCCUUAAUCUGUAUAUUCCAUUGAAUGAGACAAUACUGUGCUGGCCGAACUGUCCAAUAAUUUUUCCGCGUUGCUGUGUUUGCUGGGAGUUUGGUAUCACAAGCUUGUGAUAUAUCAAUACAAGUACAGGGUGUUAAUCAAAACAAGUUACAGUCUUGAGGCCUAAUAGCCGUUGAUCUAAAUGACUUGGCCAAUUUGAUUGUACCAUCAACAAUUAGAAUCCCUCAGAAUUUGUUGCAUACUAACUGAAAUAUAAUCUAUCCAGUUCAUGUACUUCUUACACAACUGGAAUUCAAAAUGUUUUAAUUAACACCCUGUAUACUUGAUGACCAUAUCACGUAUAAGUUCCAAUUCAAAGCCGUGGCAGUUGUAGUUUGACUUGCGACGGUGCUUUCAAAAUUUUUUGUGUAUAAAAACCUUAUCAUAGUAGAGACCUUUCGCUACGCCGUUCCGAGAACCGCUACACCGAGAACGUUUCUUGUUCCCGAUCCCGUUCCCGGAAACACUGAAACGCGUUCCGCAUGGCCGUCACCGAGAAACAGUUUGGUUUCUAUGGAGAUCGUCGAAAUGGCGGCAAACUUGAGACGCCUUGCAAAUUUCGCAAUUGAAGAUGAUGAAUUUAUGGCAUUUUAUAUCAAAAAUGAAGUCUUAGGAGGCAAGGAAAAUACGUUUGCGCCAGCGUGUGCAUCCAAUGCAUGCUGCUAUAAAUGACUGAUUUACGACCGCUUAACAUGCUUAAUAGGGCGAUUCGGGGCAGUAUGAACUUGUUUUCCCCUUCUAAAACACAGUCUCUCCACUUUACAUACUACUUCGGGUGCCUUACCGCAAUAGAAUCCCACAAAUUCGUCAUUUUUUUUCUUUAACCACUGUAAACAGACGCCGAGAAAAACAGGCCUCAUUCACGGAAUCCAGAACGGGAACGGGCAAAGCUGCUCAUCAAUCGAUGACGUCAUACGCAAAACGCGAUCGUUCUCGAUCGAUUUCUCGGCGGAACGGCGUAGCGAAAGGUCCCUAUUCUCGAACUACACCUUCCACCAUGGACCACCCAGGCUCCCCAAGUCUGGUGUCCUCGAAAGCACUCAUUCAGCCCCUUCCAUUUUGGGAAAACAUUCAAUCAGAAAUGGAAAACAUUUGUGACACCCCGUAUAUGUGUAUUUAUGUGAAGAUGUCGGAUAUUCCAUUGUAAUUAAAAGUAGAAAUUAUUUUAUCAACAACAUCAUUAAACUGCUGCAGUACGAAGUUGUUUCUUAAAAAUAUCAAUUCAGAAAACAAAACCCCUUUAAACUAAAAGUAACACGUGUUCACCCAUUCUGAAUUACAUCAACAAGAAUUGACCUCUCAGUCCCAAAAAACUGAUUGGUUCAUUUCCAAUGAGCAAGCGGAAAGCAGAAUUCGACACUUUCGAUAAACUGGGAUCCAUAAUUAAUUAUAUCUUUUAAAAAGCAUAAACGAUAACCUGCUCAGUGUCAGGAGCAUUUCGGCUUACUGUUUGUUGCUUUGAUUUCAAGUGUCCAUUUACCCUAAUCAGUAAUAAUAACGUCGCCAUUUUUUAGGUGCGUCGUUAAAUAACACUUUCCGCUACCCUAGCGGGCAUUUUGGUAACUAAAGGUAGCACUGGAUCGAUUUCGGCGGCUGCUGUAUCUUUGGCUUCACAAGGUGAUCCCUCAUUAUCUGGCUUGUUGGUGGCGGCUGUGGUCGCUUGGGUACGAAUUGGUUGAGGAGAUAUUAGGACUCCCCAAUCUGCUCUGCGAUCCUUUAUGGCUAGGGUACGAACAAGGGAACGAACGGUCGAUCUUUGAUCAAGGGGUAUACUUCGACUCUUCAGUAUCAUACCUCAAUGCGAUUCAGCCUCACCUUGGGUCAGACGUUUAGGGAGAAUCAAUUUGGUGAUCCGAUUUCUGGUUGCGGCUAACUGGGUCUACUCUGGCGUCCGAUUCCAGACCAUUAGCGUACUCUUCCAUAUAAGGCUGCGGCUGGGAACGAACAUCGCCGUACUGGGUCCUCGUUUGAUAAGUGGGCAGUGACACCGCAUCCAGAUUUUGAUGAUGAGUUCUGAAAUAACUAAUUGGUACACCCAAGAAUUGUCUGUGUAAUAACAGACACAUUUCAAUCGUUAGGGUAAAUUAAUCUACGUCAUUAAAGCAACACCAACAUUCAAAAUGUUUGAAAGGAAUAAUCAGGGCAUUAAAAUAUCAUUAUCAAUCGCCCUUUUUAAAAACCAUACUACCAAUCCAGACCUUAGAUCCAAAUCAAAUGAAAUGUAUGGAAAUCCAUCCCCUUCCAGACCGUUCAAGAUAUUCUAAAGAAACAAUUAACUGACGGCAAUACUCUGUACAACAGAUUAAGAUUUAGGCCUCAAUUAACGGUACUUAAUUCAGACUGUGUAAUAAUACUUUAAUAUCACUUCUAUAAGACCAUCUAAUGAACUUUAACAAAGGAAUGAUUGCGACUGCGGGAUAUCCUUUGACUUCCGCAGCUGUAACGUAAACUGUAAGACUUCACAAGCACUGAAGCUGUCUUAUCACUUUCUAUUUGCUACGUAUAUUUGGGUUGUGUUGAAAUUCACGAAAAUGGUCUUAUAUUUGUGAUUUUACAGUAUUUCGCCUUCUUUGCGUGUACUGUGAAAAUUGUUGGUAGUUUUUUCAAUAAAACUUGUG